UACGGAGGAUCCGAGCGUUAUCCGGAUUUAUUGGGUUUAAAGGGUACGUAGGCGGGAUGAUAAGUCAGCGGUGAAAUUUUGCAGCUUAACUGUAAGCUUGCCGUUGAAACUAUUAUUCUUGAGUGUAGAUAAGGUAGGCGGAAUGUGUUGUGUAGCGGUGAAAUGCUUAGAUAUAACACAGAACACCAAUUGCGAAGGCAGCUUACCGGGUUACCACUGACGCUGAGGUACGACAGCGUGGGGAUCAAACAGGAUUAGAUACC
rnacentral:rRNA from 1 species